UAGUCAUAUGCUCACCUCAAGGAUUAAGCCAUGCAUGUCGAAGUAUAAACUAGUAUACGGUGAAACUGCGAACGGCUCAUUAAAUCAGUUGCAAUCGAAGUGGCGAUAUCAGGUCUUGAUCGGAUAACACUGGCAAAUCUAGUGCUAAUACGUCUGGCUGGCAAAAGCAAUUUUGCCGGCCGCACUUACUAGCUGCUGCUGCCAACGGGGGCGCAAGUCCCCAUCCCGACGAGCCAUAGUAAGGAGUUGACCGCCCCCGCGGGCGGCGUGCCAUUCGAGCUUCUGCACUAUCAUCUCAGGUUGGUAGAGUAGUGGUCUACCAAGGAGUUUACGGUUAACGGAGGAUUAGGGUUCGACUCCGGAGAAUGAGCCUGAGAGACGGCUCAUACAUCCAAGGAUGGCAGCAGGCGCGAAAAUUACCCAAUGUACAAAGUACGAGGUAGUGACAAGGAAUAUCGGGGCCUGUGGGCAUUUUGCCCAUGCGGCCGCUGACAUGGACCGGCUCCAAAGGUGCCGGUGAAUACGAGUCGAGGGAAAGGUCUGGUGCCAGCAGCCGCGGUAAUUCCAGCUCGACCAGCGUAUAUUAAAGUUGUUGCAGUUAAAACGUUCGUAGUUUGACUUGCGGGGUGCGAGAACAGCGGUUUAUGGGGCCGGGGGUAUGCGGUGUGCUGGCUUGCUUCGGCAAGUUGCGCGCCGUCCUCGGUUUCAGCGCAGGUGCGCGUAGGGAGUUUGAACAAAAUUCUCUGGCGCCGUGCUUGCGUUCCGUCCCUUUGCGGGGGCGGGGCCCUUCGUCAGCACUCUGUUUGCUUGUUCAUUUAUUUGAAUGGGCGAUUACCAUGAGGAAAUAGGUACGUUCAAAGUAGGGUGGCGGCUUGCCCCAAGCGCGGUAACACGCGCGAGCAGCCCGCCGGUCCCGUUGAACAGGCCAGCAUGGGAUAAUGUGCUACGACUCGGCGUCAGUAGUACGUUGGCUUGCAGCGGAUGCAGAGUAAUGGUUGAUAGGAGUGAGUGCGUGGGCAUCAGGACCAGACGGGGACAGGUGAAAUAGGAUGAUCCGUCUGAGACUAUCGGGAGCGAAAGCGUUUGCCAAGUACACUUUCAUUAAUCAAGAUCGAAAGCCAGGGGAUAGAAGGCGAUUAGACACCACCGUAUUCCUGGCCAUAAACCAUACCAACUAAGAAUUGGGAGUGCAUUCCAUUUUUUAUUUUUGGUUCCUCUCAGCGCUCAUAGAGAAAUCGUUAAGUUUUCGGGUUCUGGGGGGAGUAUGGUCGCAAGGCUGAAACUUGAAGGCAUUGACGGAGAGAUACCACAAGACGUGGAGUCUGCGGCUCAAUUUGACUCAACACGUAAACCUUACCAGGCCCAGACGUGCGUGGGAUUGACAGAUUGAUAGUUCUUUCAUGAUUGCAUGGUUGGUGGUGCAUGGCCGUUCUUAGCCCGUAACGUAAGUCGUCUGCUUUAUUGCGAUAACGAGCGAGACCUCUGUUGUCAAAUACGCUGCACGUGCUCUGUGUUCCGCGUGCCGGCUUACAAGGCUGGCUUGCGCGGCGGCACCUGUGCGGGCGUUCUUGGCGAGACUGUUGGCGAUUUCAAAGCCAAAGGAAGGUAGAGGCAAUAACAGGUCUGUGAUGCCCUUAGAUGCCCUGGGCCGCACGCGUACUACACUGCCUGAUUCAGGGGGUAUGAUAAAUGCUGAUCUGAAGGGAUUGGCUACUCGUGAAUAUCAGGCGUGGCUGGGAUUGGGGCUUGGAACUAUGCCCCAUGAACAAGGAAUGUCUAGUAGGCGCGCUUCACAAAGGCGCGCCGAUUCUGUCCCUGUCCCUUGUACACACCGCCCGUCGCUUGAUCCGAUUGGUUAUUUUGGCGAGUUCUUCGGACGCACCGUCUCCUAUUGCUGCGCUGCGAGGCGCCGUGAGGGGGGCUGCGGAAGUUGUGCGAGCCUAAAGAAUUAGAGGAACAAGAAGUCGUAACAAGGUAUCC
rnacentral:rRNA from 1 species